UACGUAGGUGGCAAGCGUUGUCCGGAGUUAUUGGGCGUAAAGCGCGCGCAGGCGGUUCGCAAAGUCCAUGGUGAAAGCGCCCGGCUCAACUGGGCGAGUGCCGUGGGGACUGGCGAGCUGGAGGGGAGCAGAGGCGAGUGGAAUUCCGGGUGCAGUGGUGAAAUGCGUAGAGAUCCGGAGGAACACCAGUGGCGAAGGCGGCUCGCUGGGCUUUACCUGACGCUGAGGCGCGAAAGCGUGGGGAGCGAACCGG
rnacentral:rRNA from 1 species